ensembl:lncRNA
GUCAACAGGAAGUGGUUCCUGCACAGCCGAACAGCAGCAGCUCCCCCUCUCUAUCACGGUGGCCCUGAACUCUGAGGACAGGAAGCGGCAGCUGGAACGUCUGCGUGGCUCCUCCGUGCUACUCGUAUGUGAACGUCCCCAGCAGGGUGUCCUCCUCCACGUCGUCCUUCAGGCCCUGCAGGAGGAGAAGGAGCAAGAAACACCAACAUGAGAAAUGAUGAGCUGAAGCAUCUGUUGAAUCAGCUUCUGAUUCAUCUGGAUCUUCUGAGUCAAGUUCUUCAUCCUCUACCAACCCCUCCUCAGACUCUUCUUCCUCUCCAAGCUCCUCAAGCUCGGAGAAUGGAAAGAAGAAGAUGAAGAAGUCAAAGAAGA